GCCUAAAGCGUCCGUAGCCUGUUUGGUAAAUGCUUUGUGAAAUCGACCUGCUCAACAGGUCGACGUGCAGAACAGACUGCCAAACUUGAAACCGGGAGAGGUCAGAGGUAUUCCAGGGGGAGCGGUAAAAUGUUAUAAUCCCUGGAGGACCACCGAUGGCGAAGGCAUCUGACCAGAACGGAUUUGACGGUGAGGGACUAAAGCCAGGGGAGCGAUCCGGAUUAGAUACCCGAGUAGUCCUGGCCCUAAACGCUGCGAGCAAGGUGUUGCGUAAUCUCCGAGAUUACGCAGUGUCGAAACGAAGGUGUUAAGCUCGCCACCUGGGAAGUACGGUCGCAAGGCUGAAACUUAAAGGAAUUGGCGGGGGAGCACUACAAGGGGUGCGGCGUGCGGUUUAAUCUAAUUCAACGCAGAGAACCUCACCAGAAGCGCCGGCAGAAUGAAGGUCAGUCUGAAGGGCUUACCUGACGAGCCGAGAGGUGGUGCAUGGCCGUCGUCAGCUCGUGCUGUAAAGUGUCCAGCUAAGCCUGGCAACGAGCGAGACCUGUACCUUUAAUUGCUAACGGCUGAAUUUCAGGACUGAGCACAUUAGAGGGACUGCCUUGGAAACAAGGAGGAAGGUGCAGGCUACGGUAGGUCAGUAUGCCCCGAA
rnacentral:rRNA from 1 species